CUUACUACUGUCGUUAAACAUCGCUUUUCUUUCAGGUAUUAGCAAUGCAGAAGCCCGUCAACCAGGGAAAGCACCAAACUUCAGUGUGAACUGGACAGUGGGAGACACUGGUCUUGAAGUUAUUAAUGCGACAACUGGCAAAGAUGAAAUGGGUCGUGCAUCUCGCCUUUGUAAGCAUGCUUUUUACAGCCGCUGGAUGCGUAUUCAUGCAAAGCUUUCCUCCAGCUUGCGCUCGAAGGUCCUCAAGCCUAACCUGUACCACGAAACCAAGCAAGGAGCCACUGAGUAUCAAACUGCCAAAGAGUGUUUGUUUAAAGCGUUCCUGAAGGCAGGACUUGGAGCCUGGGUGGAGAAGCCCAUAGAACAGGAUCAGUUUUCUCUCACUGUCUGAUUCACAGACUGCACAUCACUUUGGAAAGGGGGUUGUUCUGGAAAUUCCUGGUGUCCAGCAUUGCUUUCUGGCAUCUCCACAGCCAUCAAAACAUCUUUUUAUUGUUUGGAGUUGGGUUUUUUCCUUUGUUUUUUGAAACUUCAUAGUAACUGUUUCUGUUUUGCCGAAGUAUUGAAACUCAAUGAUGGUCUGACACAUAAUUGUAUAUUUUGUUAUGGGAAGGUAAUUUCUGGUGUAUUUCUAGAAAUACUUUUUCUGUAGAACACUUGCAGUAAGGCUGUCCUUACAGUAUACAAUGACUCAUUUUUUCUGGGUUAAAAUAAUUUCUUUUUUUAAUUCAAUGUCAUUAAGUGCAUGAAGAAAUGAAAGUUUCUCUAGAUUUUACACCACACUUUUAGGAAGUAGCUUAAUUUUUUUAAAAGAAAAUAAGUGACAAAGCUGAUUCUACUCCUCUGUUAACUUGUUUUUGAACUGCAGAUAUUUCUAGCAUAUAGACCACAGAGCUAGAAUGGAGUCUGGACAGCUAGUUUUUCCCCACUUCCUUGCUCUUUAAAACCAGCUGCUGAAAAUUUCAUGUCUUUGAUGUAUGUAUUUAUUAGUCUGUGACCCAGUUUUUAACAUGCAGCUUUUUAUUCUGUUUUUAAAAAUACAUUUACCUCCCAUUUACA